UACGAAGGGGGCUAGCGUUGCUCGGAUUGACUGGGCGUAAAGGGCGCGUAGGCGGUUCGUACAGUCAGACGUGAAAUUCCUGGGCUCAACCUGGGGGCUGCGUUUGAUACGUGCGGGCUUGAGUUCGGAAGAGGGUCGUGGAAUUCCCAGUGUAGAGGUGAAAUUCGUAGAUAUUGGGAAGAACACCGGUGGCGAAGGCGGCGACCUGGUCCGAUACUGACGCUGAGGCGCGAAAGCGUGGGGAGCAAAC
rnacentral:rRNA from 1 species